UUUACUCUGAAAAGCAACAUUUCAGCAGAAAGUUGUUUGCUGUCAGAGCAGGAGGUUUUUGUACGGCCUCUUAAUGAGUUUCUAUCACUGUGGGACACUUUUGGUGGAGGAACCAAACUCAUCGUUGACUUGGGUGUGGUGCGUCCCACCCUGACCGUCCUCCCCCCCUCCAAAGAGGAGCAGCAGCAGAGCAAUGUCACACUGGUGUGUCUGGCCAGCGGGGGCUACCCUUCAACCUGGAGGCUGGGCUGGAAGGUGGGGGGCAGCAGCAGGUCCUCAGGGGUGUCUAACAGCCUGGAGGUCCUGGGGAGGGACGGCCGCUACAGCUGGAGCAGCACCCUGAGCCUCCCUGCAGACCAGUGGAGGAAGGCGGACUCAGUGAGCUGUGAGGCCAAUCAGAGUGGACAGAGUCCUGUCACUCAAACCCUGGACCCUAACCUCUGCUCAGAGUAGAGCUGCAGCUUCAUGUCUGGAAAUCAUCAUGUUCUUGUAUUUUAUUCAGGAAGAUUAUGUUUCAUGUUUAGACAGAUUUCUAAUAUUCAUAUUACUGAUAUUCUUCCAUAAAACCUAAAGCAAACUGAUUAUUUCAAUAAAAGUGCAGAUUUAUAGUACUUACUGUCUUUGUAUUUAUUAAUCCUUUAGAAAAUAAAUUUUCUUAAUUAAAUCCCAUUUCAUAUCAUCUGUUGUUCAAAAAAUCUGUUGGUAAGAGAAGAACUAUAAACCCACCUACAAGUGGAUCCCAAAUGCACUUUAAAACAUUUUAUUUCAGCCCGUUAUAAGGAAAAAUUAGAAUAAGCUGUAUGUCACAACAACUGAAAUUAGAAGAACUGUGUAAUUUCUACGGCCUGAAUGAUUUUUUCUUGUAUAUAAACUAUGCUGCCAUAAUAUUCAUUUAAAAACUAGAUCCAACAUUUAGAUUAAAGACAGCUGGAGAUUAAAGCUGUUAAUGUUUUAGUCCACAAAGGUUUAAAACACUGAACUCUGUUGUGAACCUAUAGUGAGCUUUGUAGUGAAAAACUGCAAACAAUGCAUCAACAAUAAAUGCAAAGGGGGAUUGAUGCAUCGCUCCAAAUGAUGUGGAGUAUAGCUUAUACCCUCAGCUACUAGUUAAUAAACUUUAGUUUCUAAAUGAACAAAUUCCAUGUCGUCAUAGUUGAACAUUUAUUCAGAGAAUUACAAUAAUAAAAAAAAAUAUUGUAAAUGACCUUUAGGCAUAAAUAAAGAACCUCUUAGUAAUUACAGAUUUAUUAUAUAUAUUUACAAGUAUUUAUUUGUAUUAACAGAACCUUUUAAUUAACCAAAACGUUUUGAAAUAUAUAAAUUUUGUUGACUAAAUGUAUUUAAUAAAAAUGCCUUAUAUACAUUAAUUACACUUAGCCUGAUGUUUUCAAGCCAUUGGUCCUUUUUUAUUAUGAGGAUAUUCUGCUCACAGAAAACACAAGAUUAAUGAAGCAAAACAGAAAAACAGGCAACAGUUAGGAUUAACUCCACAUUUAGAAACAGCAUCUUAUUUUAUAACACUAAAUGAGUGACGUGUUCAUUAAUACUUAAAAAGCUAAACUUAUGAUAUCAAGUAUGUUUGCUCUAAAAAUCACUUUGCAAUUCUUAAUAGAUACUUUUGAUACUUUCUUUUUGGGUAAUUUAUAUAAAGUGUAUGAGAAGAAAUAAUAUAUGUUUGUUAAACUCUUUCAGGUGGGCUGUGUCUAUACACCCUCUCAUGCAAGAGAUUGUGGGUAUUGUAUAGCUCCUAGCAGCAGCUGAUGAUGUCAGAAGGUCCAUCUGCUAAAUGAAGCAUUGAUAGGAAGCAUCCUGCUUCUACUGCAUUUAGUGUCAGAUAAAACAAAGAUAAAUUAAUGAUGAUCACUAUUUAAUGUAGAAGGGAUAUCUGUUCAUAUUCCAGAGAGAAAAACAAACAGAUUAAUUUGUGAUUAACUGGAGAUUUGAUUAAAUCUAUAUUUUUCUUCAGACAGCUAACAGUAAAAUAUAGCUACUUUAUUUGACUUUAAUGAAACUACCAAGAAUGUUUGGAUGUUUUAGGCAUUUUAAACAAUCAGAGAAGCAUAAUCAGUAGAGAUAAAGACUAAAUAUUUGAGUUUAAUUUUCAACAGUCUUGGUCAGAAUGUGACGUGUCACUCUGCAGAUCCAUUAGUAUAUUCAAGGCUGGUUUGUGUGUGUUUAGUUACACAGUAGUCUUUAUAACAACCUAUUUUCGCAAUAAAACGGAGUGAAUUCAGCAUAUUGGACUUUUUGUUUCUGGUUCUCCUGUGGUACUACUGGUUCAUGAUGUCAAUAGAACCAAGGAAUUUGCUCCAUGUGUGGUUUUUCAGUUAACAAUUUAAAAUCCUGUAAAAAAAUCUUCAGAAAUGAAAUCAAAAAGAGAUGAGAAAGAAAAUUUUAAAUAGUCAAAAUAUUAAAGAUUCUUAUAUUGAGCUGAUGCUCUGAGAGCCUUUCAGUUUUUAAAUUAAACUGACCUUAUCUAUCAAAAGUGACCUUAGUGCUUGGUGAGGUUUGUGUCAGCUCUGUGUUCAGUGGUCUGUAUCAGGGUCUCUUCCUCCUCAGCAGCUGCAGUCAGUUUCUGCUCUAACAGCUCAGUGUGUCUGCAGUCUGACUGAGGGAGGUUUUUGUACAGCUAGAAAUCACUGUGUGAACACAUCAUCAUCAUUUACUUCAUGUAGGCUCUGACAGUAAUAAAUUGCUGCAUCUUCAGCCUGAACUCCAGUGAUGGUCAAAGUGAAGUCAGUGCUGCUUCCACUGCCACUAAACCGAUCUGGUGUUCCUGUCUCAAGGUUUUCCACCUGAUAUAUCAGGAGCUUUGGAGGAUGUCCUUGUUUUUGCUGAUACCAGGACAUUAAAAUAUCAAGAUAAACAGCAGGAUUUGUUGUACAAUUAAUAGUGACAGUUGAUCCUGGAGUAAAUGUCACCACUGGAGGCUGGGUCACAGUCACCUGAGCGCUGCAUCCUGCAGACAAAAACAAAUCCUUCAUUUAUCAGCAGAAAGAAAUGAGAGAAAAAGCAGCACAUCAUGUUAGAAAUGUUGCAGAGGGAAUGAACCUGCAAAACAGCAGCAGGUCAGCGUCCAGAUGAGGAUGGAGAUGAGAGUCAUGGUGCUUGUUGUUUCUGCUGGCUUGACUGACAGAUCAGAGUCCUGCAGUGUUGAACUCUCAGGACUAUAAACCUUCUCAGUUCCCUGGAGGAUCAGCUGACCAUGCAAAGCCUCCUCUCUAUGGAAAUGAUUUCUCUGCUCUCAGCGCACUGGAGACAAACAGAGACACAACAUCUGAACAAAGAGUUGCUGGAUUUAAAUCAAUCAGGAUCUUAUUAAAAUAGAAGAUAGAAAAGAGACAACAUAAAGGAUUUUCAUAUAUGGAAUAAAACAGCUUUUAUCUUGAAGGUAUAUGAAUAAUUAUUCUCUUUUGUUAGUAAGCAAGGUUUAAGAAGUUAUAGAUCAAUAGAAAUUGGUGUUUUUAGGAUUAUAUUAUCUGGAGUAUUAUAAUUUUAUUAUUUCAUGUUUAAACAAAGUAAAAACUAAAUUAUAACAUUUUUUUUACAUAUUUCCACGAGGCAAACAAAAGUU